AGCCUUGAUCUGCCAGUAAACCAGCAUUAAGACACCCGGCCUUUUACCAGCAUCAAUUUGCAUCGAAGAAUCCCUCCAAACUUCCUAGCUGAGCAGCGUUGCCGCCUCCAUUGAAACCCCAAACAGGAGAAUCGUCAGCAUUGCCGAGGUUGAAAUAUGUUGCCAUGGCUGCCCAACUAUUGCCCGACGAACUACCUCUAUCGAGAUCCACAAGUUUCUCAUCUUCCUCAUUGUCCAACCCCACCAACAUUGCUAAUCGCCCCCAUUUUGGUCUCAAGCCAUCUAUAGUUUUCUCCAUGCUUGCAAUUUCAGUUAAGUCGAGAUCGUCCCGGCAAGGUGUGAUUGCAAUGAAAGCACCCAAACCUAGACGUGCAUGGGUUGUCACCGAGAAGCAUCAACGGUGAGGGUCUAAGAAGCAAUAGUCGGGUGUGGAGAGGAAACCGUGCUUGGAAAGGAGACCGACACCGAUCUCCACGGUUGAAGCACCAAGCCAAAGCGGCUAGGUUUUGGGAGCCUCGUAGAGGCCAUAUAGAUUCACACUACAAGAAAAGUGAUCAUUCACGACGUGAGAUUUAUAGCAUGCAUUAAAUGCAAGCUGUGAAUAAGUAUUAUUUACGACAAAUAAUAAAAGCACGUUGUGCUUGAUACUUUUCAAUUACAUUUUUUACAGCGUGCUCCCUUUGUAUGCCGUGAUUCUGCAAAAGCACCAAAAUUUUUGGCCAAAUAUUAAACUUUCCUCUCAGAUGAAAAAGAAGGAGAUUCACUCUCUCCCUCUCCCUCUCCCUCUCAGAGACUCUCUCUCCCCCACAAAAUCUCCUCCGCUCCCGAAACCCUAAAACCAUUGCCGCUUCUCCUCCUCCUCCACUUGCAACCCUAUCCCUGCCGCCCAGUUUUCCCUCCUCGUCUGCUCCAACGGGACUGCCUUUAACGGUGUCGUCAAGAAGCUCAAGAAUUUCAACACUUGAGUCCCCCACGUGCUUCCAGUUUCCGGCGACGGAAGAAUCACCGCUGAGAUUAUCAGUGUCCUCGGUAAUUUCUAGUAUUUCGUUUCAAAAUUGAAUGUGUUUCUGUCUGGGGAUUAUUGUUUAUUUUGGAUUAGGUGUUCCGACCGUCGAAGAUAUAUACAUGGUCUAGAUGCUUGAGAUUCCGAGGCGGUCGUCGUCAGGCAGUUGCUUAGUCAUCAUUUACCACUUGAUGCACGGCAAGCCAAAUCUGAAUGGUGAGACUUGGUUGUUGUAUUAAGAAUCAUGUUAUUUAGGGACUGCAUUUGAAAUUAUGAGCAUAUUGUGAAGUGAUGGAAAUGUAUGGUUGGUUUAUUGUCUACUUUGUUAUACUAUUCGUCAUUUUUGGGUGAUGUAAUUAUAUUUUCCUAAAUUACUUUGGUUCUAAUAGAUCUUCCUCUUGGCUUAUGUACGUUUAUUCAAAUGAAAUUGGUUUACGAUCAGUUGACACCAAUUUUCCUGUUUUUGCUUUAAUGGAUUGAUUGCUGGUCUUCAUGUUUACUUGCAAGUUACUGGAAUCUUUUGACAUAGUUGUAUAUAAGGCUGGUUUCUGCUUUGCUGUUCAUAUGUUUCUCAACGAAAUUAGAUUUGUUUAAUGGUUUUUGCCUCAUAAUAAUUGGGUCCAAGCUCUGAAUUGUUGUUUAAUACUGUAAAUGCAUGCACAAAAAUGAUAUUUCUGUUCUAUUCUGGUUGGAAUUUAUGAUCUAUUGUAUGCAUAUGUCAUAUUUGUUUUUCAGAGAAAGUUUGUGUGAAUGUGAUGAGUUUAGGCUGCAUCAAAAGCAACUAGCUGAUUGCUUGUUUCAAAGGUAAAAGGUUACCCUAUUGUCUGUCAAUAUCUAUUUGGUUGCAAAUAAAUAAGGUUUUUCGCUUUAAGUAGGCAAAUUUGCAUAUGAGAUUUAAACAGUAGUGAAGUCAAAUUGCAAACACACAGUUUUAUGCCCUUGGAGCUGGAUCCUUAUUUGAUGUGUGGGAGGAUUCUGAUUACAUUCGAUACUCCUAUUGCUAAAGUUAUAGAUGAGUAUACCAGGCACUGGAGGACAAAAACAAGCAUCUUCUCUAACAAACUCGGGGAAAGACUUUAAAAGGAAGAAAAGAACAGAAAUCUGUAUUGUUUCUUAGUGCUGCUACAUACCCCACCCUUCCUACAGAGGUAAAUCUUCAAGCUCUAUGAUUCCAUUUGGUUUAUUUUCCUACGACUUUGAUACAGAUAUGUACUCAUGGUUUUAGAGUUAUUGCACUUGAUCGGUAUCCGAUGUGGUAAAUCAAAGUAGGUCAAUAUGAAAAAGUUGGCGCCAGCUUUUUCUCUGUAGCCAGGGCAACAGAAGCUCAGUUAUUUCUAGAAGGGAUAUAUGAUAUUGAAAAUAGAGUGAAGGAAGCAGAUUGAUGUGCAGAUAAUGUAGAUAAUGCACCGGCUGCUAUUAUCAAUCUUGUUGGUACCAAGGAGUAUGACAAAUGUGCCAAGGAUGUCUUUUACAGUUUUACUUUCUUCAGGUAGUUAUAGUCAUUAGAGGGUUAAGAACACAUGUUAUUUCUGCCUUUCUAUCUAAUUUGACCCUCAUUUCCUUGUGAGUUGUUAUAGCCAAGGAUCACUAAUUAUAGUUGAUUGAGAUAAUUUUGAUGAAGAGUUUCUUUUACAUUUGGUAUCUUGUACAUCUAUUUUGUUUCAUUAAGUGUCUAAAGAUGAUAUGGCUAAUGGCUACAAUAUUGGGGUGACCCUGAA